AGAGUUUGAUCAUGGCUCAGGAUAAACGCUGGCGGCGUGCUUCAGGCAUGCAAGUCGAACGGACCUUAGGACUUCGGUCUUAAGGUUAGUGGCGGACGGGUGAGUAACACGUAAGUAACCUGCCCAAAAGUGGGGAAUAACCCGCCGAAAGGCGAGCUAAUACCGCAUGUGGUGGCUCUUCCCUGGAGGGGUCACGAAAGGCUUCGGUCGCUUUUGGAGGGGCUUGCGGCUGAUUAGCUAGUUGGUGGGGUAAUGGCCUACCAAGGCAACGAUCGGUAGCUGGUCUGAGAGGACGGUCAGCCACACGGGGACUGAGAUACGGCCCCGACUCCUACGGGAGGCAGCAGCUAGGAAUCUUGGGAAUGGGCGAAAGCCUGACCCAGCAACGCCGCGUGGGCGAUGAAGGCCUUCGGGUCGUAAAGCCCUUUUGCAGGGGAAGAUGAUGACGGUACCCUGCGAAUAAGCCACGGCUAACUACGUGCCAGCAGCCGCGGUAAUAC
rnacentral:rRNA from 1 species